rnacentral:rRNA from 1 species
CAGUAGCCGCGGUAAGACGAACCGUGCGAACGUUAUUCGGAAUCAUUGGGCUUAAAGCGCGUGUAGGCGGAUGGGAACGUCGGUCGCUGAAAUACCCCGGCUCAACCGGGGAACUGGCAUCGAAACGACCCGUCUCGAGGGGCAUAGGGGGAGCUGGAACUUCCGGUGGAGCGGUGAAAUGCGUUGAGAUCGGAAGGAACGCCCGUGGCGAAAGCGAGCUCCUGGAUGUCUUCUGACGCUGAGACGCGAAAGCUAGGGUAGCGAACGGGAUUAGAUACCCGGGUAGUCCCUGUCUCUUAUA